GUUGUAGUGUAGUGUAGUGGUUAUCACGUUCGCCUCACACGCGAAAGGUCCCCGGUUCGAAACCGGGCAGAAACA